GAUGAACGCUGGCGGCGUGCCUAAUACAUGCAAGUAGAACGCUGAAGGAGGAGCUUGCUCUUCUGGAUGAGUUGCGAACGGGUGAGUAACGCGUAGGUAACCUGCCUGGUAGCGGGGGAUAACUAUUGGAAACGAUAGCUAAUACCGCAUGACAACAGUUAUUGCAUGAUAACUGUUUAAAAGGGGCAACUGCUCCACUACCAGAUGGACCUGCGUUGUAUUAGCUAGUUGGUGAGGUAACGGCUCACCAAGGCGACGAUACAUAGCCGACCUGAGAGGGGGAUCGGCCACACUGGGACUGAGACACGGCCCAGAGUCCUACGGGAGGCAGCAGUAGGGAAUCUUCGGAAAUGGACGGAAGUCUGACCGAGCAACGCCGCGUGAGUGAAGAAGGUUUUCGGAUCGUAAAGCUCUGUUGUAAGAGAAGAACGAGUGUGAGAGUGGAAAGUUCACACUGUGACGGUAUCUUACCAGAAAGGGACGGCUAACUACGUG
rnacentral:rRNA from 1 species